UUCCACUUCAAAUGAACCAAAAAUAGCGUGAUACCUGCUUCGCUUACUUUUUUAGAAAUAAACUUAGCUAAAAAAAGUAACUAGGCUUCAAACUUGAAAUCUCAUGUACCAACUAUUAAGUUCUUCGCCAUUUAUACUAGGAACGGUCGGUGCAAUAAAUAAAGUUAUUUACAAGGAAAUAGACUUCGACUACCAACAGUUACUACUAAUCUCGAUUCAAUAAUAUGAGACCACUACAACAGAAUUAGAUUAUAGGGACACAUGUUUGGGACACUUUUGAGUAAAUGUUCCAUUUAUGCUAAAACUUAAAAAAAAUAUAUGCUAAUGCCUAAAUAUAAAGCCCAAUCCAACUAAAAAUAAAAGAUUACUCUACUCAACCCACCACACCCAGUCCAUUUGGCCCGAUUACAAACAGAAAAGAAAAAAAAAAAGAAAAAUCAAUUGCCAUCUUUUCUUCUCUCUUCACUCAAUUUACUGAAAUUCUAGACGAAAAGCCUUUUCUGUCAUUCUCCUCCGCCACCGCAGCCAACGAGAUAAAGUUUCGACGGUUGCUAAAUGCUUAAAUAAGUGUUCGUAAAUUAGCAGCACUCUUUUAGGUUAUAGCGACACUUUUUAACUGUCACUAUAUACCUAGCGACCCCACAUAUAGCAACACUUUUUAAAAGUGCCGGUAAUUUUAGUUAGCAGUACUUUUUUGACAUGUAUCUAUAUUUAAAAGUGUCGCUAUAGACCGUUUUUGUUGUAGUGGACCUGCCCAAAAAU
rnacentral:lncRNA from 1 species